CACGACACCGGAGAGGGAGCCUGAGAAACGGCUACCACAUCCAAGGAAGGCAGCAGGCGCGCAAAUUACCCAAUCCCGACACGGGGAGGUAGUGACAAUAAAUAACAAUACAGGGUUCUUUUGGAUCUUGUAAUUGGAAUGAGUACAAUUUAAAUCUCUUAACGAGGAACAAUUGGAGGGCAAGUCUGGUGCCAGCAGCCGCGGUAAUUCCAGCUCCAAUAGCGUAUAUUAAAGUUGUUGCAGUUAAAAAGCUCGUAGUUGAAUUUCGGGAUCAAUAUUUCGGUCAUGCCGUUGGUAUGCACUGUUAUCAUUGAUUUCUCACCUUCUAAAGAACCGUAAUGCCAUUAAUUUGGUGUUACGGGGAAUUAGGACUGUUACCUUGAAAAAAUUAGAGUGUUUAAAGCAGGCUCACGCUUGAAUACAUUAGCAUGGAAUAAUGAAAUAGGACAUCCGAUUCUAUUUUGUUGGUUUCUAGGAUCGAUGUAAUGAUUAAUAGGGAUAGUUGGGGGCAUUAGUAUUCAAUUGUCAGAGGUGAAAUUCUUGGAUUUAUUGAAGACUAACUACUGCGAAAGCAUUUGCCAAGGAUGUUUUCAUUAAUCAAGAACGAAAGUUAGGGGAUCGAAGACGAUCAGAUACCGUCGUAGUCUUAACCAUAAACUAUGCCGACUAGGGAUCGGAUGAUGUUAAUUUUUUAAUGACUCAUUCGGCGCCUUACGGGAAACA
rnacentral:rRNA from 1 species